CGCCUGGGGAGUGCGGCCGCAAGGUUAAAACUCAAAUGAAUUGACGGGGGCCCGCACAAGCGGUGGAGCAUGUGGUUUAAUUCGACGCAACGCGAAGAACCUUACCUGGCCUUGACAUGCAGAGAACUUUCCAGAGAUGGAUUGGUGCCUUCGGGAACUCUGACACAGGUGCUGCAUGGCCGUCGUCAGCUCGUGUCGUGAGAUGUUGGGUUAAGUCCCGUAACGAGCGCAACCCCUAUCCCUAGUUGCUAGCAGUUCGGCUGAGAACUCUAGGGAGACUGCCGGUGACAAACCGGAGGAAGGUGGGGAUGACGUCAGGUCAUCAUGGCCCUUACGGCCAGGGCUACACACGUGCUACAAUGGUGCGCACAGAGGGCUGCAAACCCGCGAGGGGGAGCCAAUCUCACAAAACGCAUCGUAGUCCGGAUCGCAGUCUGCAACUCGACUGCGUGAAGUCGGAAUCGCUAGUAAUCGUGAAUCAGAAUGUCACGGUGAAUACGUUCCCGGGCCUUGUACACGCCGCCCGUCACACCAUGGGAGUGGAUUGCACCAGAAGUGGUUAGUCUAACCUUCGGGAGGACGAUCACCACGGUGUGGUUCAUGACUGGGGUGAAGUCGUAACAAGGUAACCGUA
rnacentral:rRNA from 1 species